UGAGUUUGAUCAUGGCUCAGAACGAACGCUGGCGGCAGGCCUAACACAUGCAAGUCGAGCGCGCCUUCGGGUGAGCGGCGGACGGGUUAGUAACGCGUGGGAACGUGCCCUUCUCUACGGAAUAGCCUCUGGAAACGGAGAGUAAUACCGUAUACGCCCUUUGGGGGAAAGAUUUAUCGGAGAAGGAUCGGCCCGCGUUAGAUUAGGUAGUUGGUGGGGUAAUGGCCUACCAAGCCUACGAUCUAUAGCUGGUUUUAGAGGAUGAUCAGCAACACUGGGACUGAGACACGGCCCAGACUCCUACGGGAGGCAGCAGUGGGGAAUCUUAGACAAUGGGGGCAACCCUGAUCUAGCCAUGCCGCGUGAGUGAUGAAGGCCUUAGGGUCGUAAAGCUCUUUCGCCUGUGAUGAUAAUGACAGUAGCAGGUAAAGAAACCCCGGCUAACUCCGUGCCAGCAGCCGCGGUAAUACGGAGGAGGUUAGCGUUGUUCGGAAUUACUGGGCGUAAAGCGCGCGUAGGCGGACUAGAAAGUUGGGGGUGAAAUCCCGAGGCUCAACCUCGGAACUGCCUCCAAAACUGCUAGUCUAGAGUUCGAGAGAGGUGAGUGGAAUUCCGAGUGUAGAGGUGAAAUUCGUAGAUA
rnacentral:rRNA from 1 species